rnacentral:ncRNA from 1 species
UAUAAAUUGUAGAGACGAAUUAGUAGAUAUUACACUGUUUAACAGAGACUAAGUGGCUGGUGUAAACUUGGAAACAGAUGAUUUUGAACUUCUCGUUGAAUUUUAACAGAAUUUAGUAUGUUAAACGUUUUCCGCGUUAAGGAUCAUUGAGAGUCUCUUUAUUAAAGAGAAAUUUAGGUGGUACCGCGGAACUUCGUCCUAUAG